UACAGGGGAUGCAAGUGUUAUCCGGAAUUAUUGGGCGUAAAGCGUCUGCAGGUGGACUUUUAAGUCUUUUGUUAAAUCUCUGGGCUUAACCUAGAAUAUGCAAAAGAAACUAUUUGUCUUGAGUAUGGUAGAGGUAAAGGGAAUUUCCAGUGGAGCGGUGAAAUGACUUAGAUAUUGGAAAGAAACACCAAGAGCGAAGGCACUUUACUGGGCCAGUACUGACACUCAGAGACGAAAGCUAGGGGAGCAAACGGGG
rnacentral:rRNA from 1 species